UACGGAGGGUGCGAGCGUUAAUCGGAAUUACUGGGCGUAAAGCGUGCGCAGGCGGUUUUGUAAGCCAGAUGUGAAAUCCCCGGGCUUAACCUGGGAAUGGCAUUUGGGGCUGCAAGGCUUGAGUGCGGCAGAGGAGACUGGAAUUCCUGGUGUAGCAGUGAAAUGCGUAGAUAUCAGGAGGAACACCGAUGGCGAAGGCAGGUCUCUGGGCUGACACUGACGCUCAUGCACGAAAGCGUGGGGAGCAAACAGG
rnacentral:rRNA from 1 species